AUCCUGGCUUGUCUCCUGAAUUCCUGGAACCUGGAACCUCUGGACUGGUCAUUGACUAUGAUAUUAAUAAUAUAGAUAGUAAGGUUUAUUCAAGUCUGACCCUACAAUCUGGUGAUAUUUCUGGGUGAUACAUCUGGGAGAACGAAGACAGAGGAGCUGAAGGCCACGCAUGUACUACUCAGCAGAGGACAGCACUUUAUAUGAAGUGUUCAACUGUCUCUAAGAUAGUCUCAAUAUUUAACUCUGACUGGACUUGAAUAUAGAUCCGACUGAACUUGAAUACAGCUUUGACUGGACUUGCUAUUUUGUAGAUCUUCCAUCCUUCCUUUCUCUUCACCCUCAGUGAAGGCUGACUCUUCCAAGAACCAAAAGUGCCUUGUGUGAGUGUCUUCAUGGGGCAUGACAAGGAGGGUGUGAUAUAAAUAUAAGGACAACUAGUGUAUUAAUAUAGCAACAACAGGUAAAUGUAUAAUUAAAUAAAAGUCCUAAUAAUUUAUAUGAUCAUACUCAAA
rnacentral:lncRNA from 11 species